UUCUUUGCUUCAAACCAUCAAUAUUUUAGGAAAAUGAUGAAGAUUUGAGGAGGAGAAAAAGGGCGAAAUUGGUUUGUUGCUGCUAAUGUUCGUCGGUGAAAUGAAAAGAAAAGAUGAAUGAAAUGAAGAGCUGGGAAAAAAAAGAAGUUGAUGGGUUGAAAAUUGGAUCUGUGUGCACACACGCGAAGGCGCCGUUUCUCAAACCCUCGCCUGAUCAUGUUGUUAACUCUCGAUUGUCCCGGAAACCACCUUGCUUUGUAUGUUGACAUACGAGGUGUAUGUUAUCCGGGGAUCGGAAUACAAGCUUAUACGGGUCAAGAAAAGUCAACUCCGGCCUUAAGAACAACAAACCAAGAAGGCAAAGCCUUAUCCUACACUACACUCUACCUAUCCUACACCACCUCAUCUCACCUUCCUUGCCAGCCUGCUCCAACCCAACAACACCAAGCAAUCACCCCCCUGCAACACGCUACACCACACAACAGCCACCGCAACAGCUCUCCCCUCCCAACGCUGCAAACCACCGUUCACCAACUCCUCCAUCUCUCAGCCAUCAUCGCCACCCAACCAUACAACACCAACAUUCGCAACACUCCAACAACGCAGCAGCAACCGCCGAGCACAACCAGUGCCAAAACCGCAACCAAAUCAGCCCAAAAAGUCACACAAAACAGAGAAAAGAACAAAGCAAAAACAGAGAAAUUAGUUUGGUCGAACCCGAAUUAAGUUCGACCGAACCGAAAAUUUAGAGUUCCUGCAAGUCUGAGGUCCGGCCGAACCUCCAUUGAGUUUGGUCGAAUAUUUGAGUGCGUUUGGUUGUACGGAAUUAAUGAAGCUCGACGGCUACAAUUAAUUGAAAAUCGAGCAGCGAAUUUGGUCCUUCGGAAUGAUUGACGGUCGAUAAUGAUGAUCGACGGUGAGGCGAUGAUGAUUGAUUCUGAUCCGUUGAUGAGGAUUAAAGAUGAUGCGAUUUUGAUGAUUGACGGUGAAGAUUGUGUUGGAAAUUCUCAUUGGGAAACACAAAGAAAAAAAGGGUGAGUGAAAAUUCAAGAGUCCCACAUUGGAAAAACUCUUCAUAUUCCUCUUGUUUAUUAAUUGGGGAAUGAGUGUAACUCUUGUUUAAGAAAGUGUGAGAAUGGUAUGGGUGGACACAUCACACACGCGCGCGCGCCGGGCCGGGCGCGGGCCGUGGGCCUUGGGCCGUGG